rnacentral:lncRNA from 1 species
GUUUGUUUCUAGUAUUUCAGAUCCAUAACUGCCAAAAGAUCCAUAACUGCCAAAGGCUUCAUAAGUCACAGACAAGAAGGUAAGAGGAUCCAUGCAUAUCAAUGGUCUGUUUCCAGUAUUCAGCCUGACAGAGUUGAACACUGAGUGCCCAGGUUAAAACCUCUACGGGAUCGUGUGUCCCAGCCGCGGGAUGGUUGAGCUAACGUGCGCUAAUGUGAUUAGCAUGAGGUUGUAAGUAACAAGAACAUUUCCCAGGACAUAGACAUGUCUUAUAUGGGCAGAAAGCUUAAAUUCUUGUUAAUCUAACUGGACUGUCCAAUUUACAGUAGCUAUUACAGUGAAAGAAUACCAUGCUAUUGUUUGAGGAGAGUGCACAACAGAAAACGUAUCACGGCAACUGGUUUGAUACAUUCACCUCUGAAGGUAAAUAAUGUACUUACAUUCAGUAAUCUUGCUCUGAUUUGUCAUCCUGAGGGUCCCAUAAAAUGUAGCAUAGUUUUGUUUGAUAAAAUCUAUUUUUAUAUUCAAAUGUAGGAAGAGGGUUCUACAGUUUGAACCCCUGCCCCUAGAUGUGUGAAGGUUAGUGUAUUUUCUAUAGGGAAGCUAAUUAUUCAUCACAUUCCUGAGUGUGUAAACUUACAAAAAUUAUAUGGUAAUAAAAAAAUGUAUGUUCUCUAUAGGGUUUGAUCCUUUUAAUGUUGACUGACGAAUAAAGGUUGACUGACGGAUACUGAGUGCCCAGGUUAAUGUUGACUGUUUGGCAUAGCAAGAUUGUUUUCAGAGCAAUAAAUUCCAUUGAAAGAAACAGAAAUGACAGACAAGUCUAUAAUUAGGCUGAGGCGACUUUUACUAGACAUCUGCAAUCACAGGGUGACAAAGUGGAGAAGUUAACAAAAGUUAUGAGGGCACCACGGUGUUACAGACAAGUACAAAUGUAAAAAAAAAAAAAAGAUUUUUUAUAUAUAUAUAUUUUGUUCAUAGAUUUAAAAAAAACAAAAACGGGAUACAAAUAAAACAACGGUCAUUGUCAACCUGUCCUACUAAGACAAACAAAAAAAGCGUGUGUGUUCCAAUAUCCAUACUACCUAGUAUGAAGCAAUGUAAGAGGCAUACAUUCUAUGUAGUGUGGAGGAUGGAACCGCAUUAAGGGUUUAGGGAAUGGGGACGCAGCCUCCGUCUCCUAGCGUUUGUCCCAUCUCUCAGGAGGGGGGUGGACUCCCCGGCUCCGGCCUCCCGGCUUCGCUGCCGUCGCUGACCUGCCUCUUCAUCACCAUCUCCCUGGCAACGCAGGUCACCUGGCCGUUGGUCACAGUCAUGGCCGCCGCCCUGGAAGAGAGGGGUCGAGUGUGAGAGCAAAGCAAAACGGGGAGAGGUAAGGAUGACCUGCGUGGCUCAGUCGGGAAGACUGUAGCACUAACAAUGCAAAGGUCGCCAGUUCAAUUCCCAGGGAUGGAGGACAGUGUGAGCGAGGAGGAGUUGUUUAGGGAGAGAGAGGUUGAGUGUGAGAACAAGGAAAACUGGUGUUGUAUUCAGCAGGGAGCACCUUGCUUAAUGUUGUAGAUGAAACUGCCAUGAGGAUUAUGUCUUAGUGUGUCAGAAAGCUGUCUGUCCUAGUGAGGGACCCAGGAGGGAGUAUUCAUGAAGCAAGACAAUAAGGGUUUGGAAAUGUCAGCUAAUGAAUUGACUACUAGUUGAAGUUGUUUCACAACACUUAUAAAGAGCUGGGGGUUUUUCCGCUAGCAUUCUGGUAAGACGCCCAAUGGGCUUUAGCGGGGGUUUUUUGCACCCCCUUGUGUAAAACCGUAAAUCCCAGUGUGAGAGAAGGACAGUAUAAGGAUACACGCGAAUAUGAAAACCUUGCUACCGCACAUUUGUGUGAAAUUACAGAUGCUUAUUUGUUUGAUAUUAAUAAGCCUGUAUUCUGGAUGGCCUUGUCUUCACCUCUUCUGACCAACUAGUCGGUAUAAUGUAAGUAAGUCCCAUAGUGAACAAUGUAACUUAAGAUACGCACCUUUGUCUUUAACGCUAAUAAAAAGGCCCAAUGUCUUUAACGCUAAUAAAAAGGCCCAUUGUCUUUAACGCUAAUAAAAAAGGCCCAACCAAGAAUCUGUUUGUUUGUCCAUUUAUGAACACUUGCCAUCUCACCUUUACUAUAGUAGCUAUCAGGAAGGUUAGUCUCCUCACCUAACAGUGGGUGAGGGCGGGGUUAACGGUGUGCUGAGUAGGUGUGGGAGGAGCUAUGAAUGGACAUUUCUCCAUUGAAAGUCUAUGGCCAUUGGAAUGCAUUGAAAUAGUAUCAAAAUGGUGGGCAGAAGGAAGAUAAUGUGAUUAGGUCAAGUCGAAUUCCAUAAGAGAUGUAACAAGCACACUAAAACCUUAAAAGUAUUACCUCUGGUUAGAUCAGUAGCUUGUGACUUUACUGCAUUAGGUUAAAAAAAAAUAAAGCUUUAUUUUUAAAACUUACAAGAUAAUUUUUUUUUACGAAUUCGUCAAAGAUUUAAUGCAUAUUGCAUAAAUUAACAUGAAAUGUGUAUUAUACACACAAAUAUAAAACGUUGGUGCCAUGAACUUAAUUAAGAUCCCAGAACUUUCCAUACUCAAAAAACAUCUAAAAUGUUGUGCACAAAUUUGUUUAGACCCGUUUUAAUGACCUUUUUCUCCUUUGCCAAGAUAAUUAAUCCACCUGACAGGUGUGGCAUAUUAUGAAGCUGAAUAAACAGCAUAAUCAUUACACAGGUGCACCUUUUGCUGGGUACAAUAAAAGGCCUCUAAAAAUGGGCAGUUUUGUCACACAACACAAUGCCACAGAUGUCUCAAGUUGAGGGAGUGUGCAAUUGGUAUGCUGACUGCAGGAAUGUCCACCAGAACUGUUGCCAGAGAAUUUAAUGUUAAAUUAUCUACCAUAAGCUGCACUCAGCGUCAUUUUAGAUAAUGUGGCAGUAUGUCUAAGACCAGCCACCCGGACAGCUGAUAAAACAGAGGAGUAUUUCUGUCUGUAAUAAAGCUCUUUUGUGGGGAAAAAACUGAUUGGCAGGGCCUGGCUCCCCAGUGCGUGUGCCUGUGACAGUCCAUGCCCACCCAUGGCUGCGGCCCUGCACAGUCAUAUGAAAUCCAUUGAUUAGGGCCUAAUUUAUUUAAAUUAACCGAUUUCCUUUUAUGAACUGUAACUCAGGAAAUUUCUCCCUCUCAAAUUCCAGUUAACUCCUGAAAAUGACUUUGUUUGUUAAUCUGAGUCCACCUGGUGUCAUUUUGGCACCAUUUUUUUAGAAAAGGCUUUGCCAUUGACAUGUGCAUCUUAUCCUGUGACCUUUUGACCCAGAAUUGAGACACACACACACAAAGAAAAUUAUAUAUCUUAGCAAUGGUAAGCCCUACAGACAUGAAACAAAGUGCACUGUGCUUCUGAGAGUAUGUUCAGUUCAGCUCUAAAAGCAAUGUUUAUUUUACACCCCCCCCCCCCAAGGGAGCGCAAUGGAACCAGAGGAUAAGUCAAGAACAUUCUGAAGUGUUUUGAAUACGUAAGAGGUUAUAGUCCAUUACCCACAUUUCUCCCAGUUGCCUACUUUAACUUACUUCUGCUUGGCCUCCUCAGUCAGAGUGGUCAUUCCUGGCUGGUUCUGCUUCCCAAAGAAGAAGCUGGACCACCAAUGUCCAGAGUCUUGUUUGGGCAGACCUGAGAAACAAGAUUAACAACUAGGUCAAACACAUAGAAAAUGAAUAAACAUAAGACAAUUACCUAUAUAAUAGCCCCAACAUAAUACAUAAAAGGUUCACACGGAUAUACAGUAACCCGAUUACCCGAUAAUUCUAUAGUUGACCCUCGGAUCGGAUCACGCUCGGUGGCCACGGACCGGUGUGAAAAUACAGACCAGAUCUGAAAUUAUUUGAAGAAAAUAUCCUAAUAAAAAUAAAUAAUCUAAUUAGCUACACAUGGCAGUUGGCUCAGUAAAAAAUAUUUAAUCUGUCUCCUUCACCGGUCUUCCUCGCUCUGUCUGACUUGAGCUCUCGCUAUUCCUGGGGUUGUGUGUUUCGUCACAAUGUACUUUUGAAUGUUCGUUUUGGACUGAUGUCCGACUGAGCAUUCUACUCAACGCAUCAUCAAUGAUCGCUGAUGGAGAUUUCAAAAGGUGCAUUACAGUGGCUUGGAAAUACAAUGACAUUCAAAAUGGAGGCAAAUAAUUAGUAGGAAAACAUUUUCAUGUCACCAGAUUGACUUUAGAUGUAGUAUAACGCUUGCUAGCAUUGCCAGCUAUUUUUGACAAACUUUACUAGCUAAUGUCAACAUUGCCAACCGUCUAAAGUAAGUUUGAUGACAUGUUAACGCUGACAAAGUUGUUUCCUACUAAAUAUUUGACUACUUUAGCGAUGUCAUCGUAUUUCCUGGUCCCCCAAAAAACAAACAAGAAAAGUAGUUUUGCUGUAAUACACAGCUGUAUUUGAGCCAGGGCGAAGUGUUCAGAUAGUCUAUUUUAUGACGUUUCCGCUGGAUAUACGGGAUCAGCAAUAUGUUGCCAUUUCACUAUGGAGAGAACGAGAGUGUUGGAAAGAUGUUUCAAAUACAGUGAGGAACUAUACUGUGGUGACCAUAAAAAUACAUUGAGAAGCUCUGAGGCACAUAAGUGGUGGUGCAUUAGGACAAUUAGAAAUCCCCAAACUGGAACUUUUAUAGACCUACAGGCCAGGUACUUCUUUACAUGUUCAAGUUAAAUAAUACAUAAUACAUACAUACAUAGCUCCAAAAAAUAAAGGGAACACUAAAAUAACACAUCCUAGAUCUGAAUGAAUGAAAUAAUCUUAUUAAAUACUUUUUUCUUUACAUAGUUGAAUGUGCUGACAACAAAAUCACACAAAAAUAAUCAAUGGAAAUCCAAUGUAUCAACCCAUGGAGGUCUGGAUUUGGAGUCACACUCAAAAUUAAAGUGGAAAACCACACUACAGGCUGAUCCAACUUUGAUGUAAUGUCCUUAAAACAAGUCAAAAUGAGGCUCAGUAGUGUGUGGCCUCCACGUGCCCGUAUGACCUCCCUACAAUGCCUGGGCAUGCUCCUGAUGAGGUGGCAGAUGGUCUCCUGAGGGAUCUCCUCCCAGACCUGGACUAAAGCAUCCACCAACUCCUGGACAGUCUGUGGUGCAACGUGGCGUUGGUGGAUGGAGCGAGACAUGAUGUCCCAGAUGUGCUCAAUUGGAUUCAGGUCUGGGGAACGGGCGGGCCAGUCCAUAGCAUCAAUGCCUUCCUCUUGCAGGAACUGCUGACACACUCCAGCCACAUGAGGUCUAGCAUUGUCUUGCAUUAGGAGGAACCCAGGGCCAACCGCACCAGCAUAUGGUCUCACAAGGGGUCUGAGGAUCUCAUCUCGGUACCUAAUGGCAGUCAGGCUACCUCUGGCGAGCACAUGGAGGGCUGUGCGGCCCCCAAAGAAAUGCCACCCCACACCAUGACUGACCCACCGCCAAACCGGUCAUGCUGGAGGAUGUUGCAGGCAGCAGAACGUUCUCCACGGCGUCUCCAGACUCUGUCACGUCUGUCACAUGUGCUCAGUGUGAACCUGCUUUCAUCUGUGAAGAGCACAGGGUGCCAGUGGCGAAUUUGCCAAUCUUGGUGUUCUCUGGCAAAUGCCAAACGUCCUGCACGGUGUUGGGCUGUAAGCACAACCCCCCCACCUGUGGACGUCGGGCCCUCAUACCACCGUCAUGGAGUCUGUUUCUGACCGUUUGAGCAGACACAUGCACAUUUGUGGCCUGCUGGAGGUCAUUUUGCAGGGCUCUGGCAGUGCUCCUCCUGCUCCGUCUUGCUGCUGGGUUGUUGCCCUCCUACGGCCUCCUCCACGUCUCUUGAUGUACUGGCCUGUCUCCUGGUAGCGCCUCCAUGCUCUGGACACUACGCUGACAGACACAGCAAACCUUUCUGCCACAGCUCGCAUUGAUGUGCCAUCCUGGAUGAGCUGCACUACCUGAGCCACUUGUGUGGGUUGUAGACUCCGUCUCAUGCUACCACUAGAGUGAUAGCACCGCCAGCAUUCAAAAGUGACCAAAACAUCAGCCAGGAAGCAUAGGAACUGAGAAGUGGUCUGUGGUCACCACCUGCAGAACUACUCCUUUAUUGGGGGUGUCUUGCUAAUUGCCUAUAAUUUCCACCUGUUGUCUAUUCCAUUUGCACAACAGCAUGUGAAAUGUAUUGUCAAUCAGUGUUGCUUCCUAAGUGGACAGUUUGAUUUCACAGAAGUGUGAUUGACUUGGAGUUACAUUGUGUUGUUUAAGUGUUCCCUUUAUUUUUUUGAGCAGUGUAUAUAUAAAAUAAACAUUUAACAAAAAGGGCAAACAAUUCACACAAUGAAAGCGCACAAAUUAGUGGGAGACAGAGCCAGAGAGCAUUCUGGAGAGACAGAACCAGAGAGCAUUCUGGAGAGACAGAGCCAGAGAGCAUUCUGGAGAGACAGAGCCAGAGAGCAUUCUGGAGAGACAGAGCCAGAGAGCAUUCUGGAGAGACAGAGCCAGAGAGCAUUCUGGAGAGCCAGAGCCAGAGAGCAUUCUGGAGAGCCAGAGCCAGAGAGCAUUCUGGAGAGCCAGAGCCAGAGAGCAUUCUGGAGAGCCAGAGCCAGAGAGCAUUCUGGAGAGCCAGAGCCAGAGAGCAUUCUGGAGAGACAGAGAGCAUUCUGGAGAGACAGAGCGUUUUAAUACUAAGCUGUAGUGUAGACCACAACGCAAUUCUCAAUAGAUCUGGUCCACCUCAGAUCCGAAUCAGGGAUUGAUUUCCCCCCCAAAAUAAAAAAAUGACCUGGUCCUGGUGGUGUCAGAUGGGAAUUUCACGGAUCCAAUUCGGUUAGGAUCUCAAUUUCAGGUCCAAGAAUACCUGAACUAAACAUAACUCACUAAAUGACCUCAUCACUGUGUACAUGUAAAGCUUCAGUAGACGAGGAAAAAACUGACUACCAUUCUCUGCUGCCUCAGUUGGUGUUGUCAUGGCACCGUGCCCUGAGGCAGCAGAGAAUGGUAGUCAGUCAGUUGGUGUUGUCAUGGCACCGUGCCCUGAGGCAGCAGAGAAUGGUAGUCAGUCAGUUGGUGUUGUCAUGGCACCGUGCCCUGAGGCAGCAGAGAAUGGUAGUCAGUCAGUUGGUGUUGUCAUGGCACCGUGCCCUGAGGCAGCAGAGAAUGGUAGUCAGUCAGUUGGUGUUGUCAUGGCACCGUGCCCUGAGGCAGCAGAGAAUGGUAGUCAGUCAGUUGGUGUUGUCAUGGCACCGUGCCCUGAGGCAGCAGAGAAUGGUAGUCAGUCAGUUGGUGUUGUCAUGGCACCGUGCCCUGAGGCAGCAGGGAAUGGUAGUCAGUCAGUUGGUGUUGUCAUGGCACCGUGCCCUGACUGGCACAACAAGGCAAUCCUACAGUCACCAACCUUAAAAGGUCUACCAUGUAGUAAGACUGGGACUAUACCAGUAUCGCCAUACUCAUACUACCCCAACAGUUAGGGAACUCCCAGUACCACCCCUGAACACAGUCCCUACCCCAACAGUUAGGGAACUCCCAGUACCACCCCUGAACACAGUCCCUACCACCACCCAUAUGCUUGCUUUGUGUACCUGGAUGGUGUGGAAUGACCUCCCCACUGUACUCUGAACUGCCACAGGAGCUGCUGCUGGAAGUGGAGCCGAGGCGCCCUGGGGAAAAGUUAAACCAAUAGGACUGUUAGGUUUGUACAGAACAACUCAUUCAGCACCUUUACAAGCCUACUCCAGACCUAGGCUAUUGUCACAGGAUCAAUCCAUACUUCUGUCACUGUCUCAGGAUAGGGCUGGACAAUACUACCCAUUCAUGACCAAGAGGUUUGAUCCCCACAAAUUCUGGGAGGUACAGUUAACUCUAAUGAACUCAUCCUCUGCAGCUGAGGUAAAUCUGGGUCUUUUCCUGUGUCAUGAGAGACAGUUUCAUCAUAGCACUUUCAAAGUUCUUGCAUUUUUCCAGAUUGACUGAUCUUCAUGUCUUAAAGUAAUGAUGGACUGUUGUUUCUCUUCGCUUAUUUGAGAUGUUCUUGCCAUAAUAUGGAUUUGGUCUUUUACCAAAUAGGGCUAUCUUCUGUAUACAAUCCCUACCUUGUCACAACACAACUGAUUGGCUCAAACACAUUAAGAAGGAAAUAAAUUCCACAAAUGAAUUUUUAACAAGGCGAGCCUGUUGAUUGAAAUGCAUUCCGGGUGACUACCUCAUGAAAAUAAAGGUGAAAUAAAAGGUUAGAUUACAACAACAAAAAAUGAAGCUGGUUGAGAGAGAAUGUCAAAAGGGUACAAAGCUGUCAUCAAGGCAAAGGGUGGCUACUUUGAAGAAUCCAAAAUAUAUUUGGAUUUGUUUAACACUUUUUUUUGGUUACUACAUGAUUCCAUAUGUGUUAUUUCAUAGUUGAUGUCUUCACUAUUAUUCUACAAUGUAGAAAAUAGUAAAAAAAAAAUUAAACUGUAGGUGUAUCCAAACUCUUGACUGAUACAUAUUUAUUUUUUUACUUGGGUGCCAGUUUUCAACACUUCCAAAGACAAAGGAAAAUCACACUGAUGGAGUUUGACUGAGUUACGGCCUGAGUGCUUCUUUUGUAAAGACAUGCCCUGGCCCGAGAGCUACUCACUUCGGUAGUAGUCAUUGGUAGCAACAAGAGAAGCGCCUGCAUUGAUCGCUGCCAUUCUUCAGAUCUUGUUGAAUAGUGCGUUAGAUAGAAACCCUGGAAGAAGAAUGGGACACUAAGUCAGACAUUUGUACAUAGACAGAGAUUAUAGCACAAGUUUUUGCAACGAUGUAGUUCCUAGCCAGUCCUUCAGAAUGCAUGGCUGGCUAACUACAUACAGUAACAAGCAAUAAGAGUCACCUCUCACACUUAGCUAUAUGAGAAAUAUUGAAACAAUCAUUGCUGCCAAGGCUGCCUCAAAUUGUUAGUGUGUAGGCUACCAUCUGUUCUGUGACUUUAAUGUAGGCAUCUGAUACUACUAAACACAAAUGACAAGGUUUUUUAUUUAUUUAUUUAAAAUUAACCUUUAUUUAAACAAGGCAAGUCAGUUAAGAACAAAUUCUUAUCUACAAUAACGGCCUACCAGGGAACAGUGGGUUCACUGCCUUGUUCAGGAGAAGAACGACAGAUUUUUUUUUACCUUGUCAACUCCGGGAUUGAACCCAAUUGACAUUUCAGUUACCGGACCAACCGUCUAACCACCCAACCGGCCGUCUAACC